AUUGAACGCUGGCGGCAGGCCUAACACAUGCCAGUCGGGCGAGAGGCGGACGGGUGUGCCAUGUAUGAGGAUCUGCUUGAAGGAGGGGGAUAACUACUGGAAACGGUAGCUAAUAUUGCACACCAUCAGAUGACCCCAUAUGGGAUUAGCUUGUCGGUGAGGUAACGGCGCACCUAGGCGACGAUCCCUAGCUGGUCUGCGAGGCGGAUCAGCCACACUGGGACUGAGACACGGCCCAGACUCCUACGGGAGGUAGCAGUGGGGAAUAUUGCGCAAUGGGCGCAAGCCUUAUGCAGCCAUGCCGCGUGUGUGAAGAAGGCCUUCGGGUUGUAAAGUACUUUCGUUCGGGAGGCGUUACCGACAGAAGAAGCACCGGCUAACUCCGUGCCAGCAGCCGCGGUAAUUC
rnacentral:rRNA from 1 species